rnacentral:rRNA from 1 species
GACGAACGCUGGCGGCGUGCCUAAUACAUGCAAGUAGAACGCUGAAGGAGGAGCUUGCUCUUCUGGAUGAGUUGCGAACGGGUGAGUAACGCGUAGGUAACCUGCCUGGUAGCGGGGGAUAACUAUUGGAAACGCUAGCUAAUACCGCAUAAGAGUAGAUGUUGCAUGACAUUUACUUAAAAGGUGCAAUUGCAUCACUACCAGAUGGACCUGCGUUGUAUUAGCUAGUUGGUGGGGUAACGGCUUACCAAGGCGACGAUACAUAGCCGACCUGAGAGGGUGAUCGGCCACACUGGGACUGAGACACGGCCCAGACUCCUACGGGAGGCAGCAGUAGGGAAUCUUCGGCAAUGGACGGAAGUCUGACCGAGCAACGCCGCGUGAGGGAAGAAGGUUUUCGGAUCGUAAAGCUCUGUUGUAAGAGAAGAACGAGUGUGAGAGUGGAAAGUUCACACUGUGACGGUAUCUUACCAGAAAGGGACGGCUAACUACGUG